rnacentral:rRNA from 1 species
AAUGAACGUUGGCGGCGUGGAUUAGGCAUGCAAGUCGAGCGAGAACCCAGCAAUGGGGGACAGCGGCGCAAGGGACAGUAAUGUGUAGAUCAUCUGCCCUCAGGUCCGGGAUAGCUGCGGGAAACUGCAGGUAAUACCGGAUAACAUCUCCGGAUCAAAGGUGUGAUUCCGCCUGAGGAUGAGUCUACAUCCUAUUAGCUAGUUGGUAGGGUAACGGCCUACCAAGGCGAUGAUGGGUAGCGGGUGUGAGAGCACGACCCGCGUCAUUGGGACUGAGACACUGCCCAGACCCCUACGGGUGGCUGCAGUCGAGAAUCUUCGGCAAUGGGCGCAAGCCUGCCCGAGCGACGCCGCGUGUGGGAUGAAGGCCUUCGGGUUGUAAACCACUGUCAGAGGGGAUGAAAUGCAGGUGGGUUCUCCCAUCUGUUUGACAUAGCCUCAGAGGAAGGACGGGCUAAGUUCGUGCCAGCCGCCGCAGUAAAAC